AUUGAACGCUGGCGGCAUGCCUUACACAUGCAAGUCGAACGGUAACAGGUCUUCGGACGCUGACGAGUGGCGAACGGGUGAGUAAUACAUCGGAACGUGCCCAGUCGUGGGGGAUAACUACUCGAAAGAGUAGCUAAUACCGCAUACGAUCUGAGGAUGAAAGCGGGGGACCUUCGGGCCUCGCGCGAUUGGAGCGGCCGAUGGCAGAUUAGGGAGUUGGUGGGAUAAAAGCUUACCAAGCCGACGAUCUGUAGCUGGUCUGAGAGGACGACCAGCCACACUGGGAAUGAGACACGGCCCAGACUCCUACGGGAGGCAGCAGUGGGGAAUUUUGGACAAUGGGCGAAAGCCUGAUCCAGCAAUGCCGCGUGCAGGAUGAAGGCCUUCGGGUUGUAAACUGCUUUUGUACGGAACGAAAAAGCUCCUUCUAAUACAGGGGGCCCAUAACGGUACCGUAAGAAUAAGCACCGGCUAACUACGUGCCAGCAGCCGCCGUAACAC
rnacentral:rRNA from 1 species